UCUAGUCAAGAGAUAGUCUAGUUUUGCUCAGAUUGUUAAUCCUUUUAAAAGCAGGUUAAAUUUAGUGUUUCUAUUUUAUUAGAGUUUACUAUUGAAUCAGUAUAUUUUAAGUAUUGUAGAACUAACAUGUAGGAUGAAAAAAAUAGAAGGUACAUUUCAGUAAUUUAAAUAAGUAUACUUUUUCAUGUUAGAAGUCUUGAGUCCAAAAUCAAUCAACUCUUUUUCACCUAAAGACAAACUAUUAUUAUUUCUUAGUUGAUGAUCACUAUGUGUUAACUGUAGAUUGUUUACCUUAUCUACUUUUUUUGCUAAUCUUAUGUGAGCCCUUUCAUUUUUUUUGAACCUCCCUUUUUGGAGAAAAUCAUAGAUGUGAUUUCAAUCACUUUAUUAGAAAUUAUUUAGAGGUGAGUUUGUAAAAUUGUGCUGUUAGACAUUUAAAAAAAUACUG
rnacentral:lncRNA from 1 species